ACGUGCACAUUUCUAUUUCUAUGUCUGCAAGAGAGAUGCUGAGGGGAAGGGGCUGCAAGGGAGUUGUGAGCUUGUGAGAAGCCUUCGGCUGAUUCCUGUGGGAGCUGUCACAGCAGGUUGAUGAGAAGGGCCUGUAGGAAGAGAAUGGGUUCUGCUCAGCUUCUGCCAACCAAAUUCAGCCGAAAAUGGAAUGCUUUAAGGAAAAAAAAAACACAGAGCUGUCAGAGACAACUCACGCCAUCUGGUGACCUUAAUUUCAAACAGGGAACAGGGUCAUUUAAACUGGAGCUAAAGGAAGAUGCGAAGCUAGAUCUGAUGGAAAUACGCUUGUCUACAUUUCAUCUUUCAACUUCAGAUGGAAACCAAAUUCUCGACAAGCUAUAUAUCCUUGUUAAUCUUAGUGGCGUGAUCUGAAUAGGGGAAUUGGUUUUGCUAAAUUCUGAAAUUAGUCAUUUCUUGUUAUAUUGUUCUUUUUCUCGUCCAUUUUAAUUGGAUUAAUUGGAUUGUUCUCUUUCUGCCCUGAUUCAUGGAGGUGUGCUAUUAAAUAGCUGCUGCUUUCUAUUGGACCAGU